rnacentral:miRNA from 1 species
AGUUUUGCAGGAUUGCAUUCC